GAUGAACGCUGGCGGCGUGCCUAACACAUGCAAGUCGAGCGAGGAGACGCGUAGCUUGCUCUCCUUACGUUAGCGGCGGAUAGGUGAGUAACACGCGGCUACCCUACCUAUAAGACCUGCAUAACUUCGGGACACCUGAGCUAAUACCGGCUCAUAUAUUGAACGGCAUGGUUCAAUAGUGUAAGACGGUUUUGUUGUCACUUAUAGUUUGAUCCGCGCCGCAUUAGCUUGUUGGUAAGGUAACGGCUUACCAAGGCGACGAUGCGUAGCCGACCGGAGAGGGUGGUCGGCCACACGGGAACUGGGACACGGUCCAGACUCCUGCGGGAGGCAGCAGUAGGGAAUCUGCCGCAAUGGGCGAAAGCUUGACGGAGCAACGCCGCGUGAGUGAUGAAGGUCUUCGGAUCGUAAAGCUCUGUUAUUAGGGAAGAACUAAUGUGUACGUAACUAUGCACGUAUUGACGGUACCUGAUCAGAAAGCCACGGCUAACUACGUG
rnacentral:rRNA from 1 species